UCCAAUGGGCAAUCGGGUAUCAAAGUCCAUCAAUAUGAAACCUUGAUCGAAGAGCCCCAAACCAGUGGGACUCUUGACCCCGGUACCCAAAAUGUGUGGGACUCAUGAUCAGAGAAUCUUGAUUCUCGAUCACAGAGUCUCAGACACAUAGAACUCAUAGUCCAUGAAUAUUAGGACUCUUUAUCAGCCAUCAGAUCAGAUAGGAACCUCUAAUGUGUGUGACCCCGC
rnacentral:lncRNA from 1 species